CGAACGCGACUUGGGCUUCGGCCUAAGUUGAGUGGCGAACGGGUGAGUAACACGUGGGUGACCUACCUUCGAGUGGGGGAUAACGUCCCGAAAGGGACGCUAAUACCGCAUAACAUCCUGCCUUUGAACAGGUGGAGAUCAAAGCCGGGGAUCGCAAGACCUGGCGCUUGAUGAGGGGCCCGCGCCUGAUUAGCUAGUUGGUGGGGUAAUGGCCUACCAAGGCGACGAUCAGUAUCCGGCCUGAGAGGGCGGACGGACACACUGGGACUGAGACACGGCCCAGACUCCUACGGGAGGCAGCAGUGGGGAAUUGUUCGCAAUGGGCGCAAGCCUGACGACGCAACGCCGCGUGGAGGAUGAAGGUCUUCGGAUUGUAAACUCCUGUUGCUCGGGACGAAAAGCUUCGACCUAACACGUCGAAGUCUGACGGUACCGAGUGAGGAAGCCCCGGCUAACUCUGUGCCAGCAGCCGCGGUAAUACAGAGGGGGCAAGCGUUGUUCGGAAUUACUGGGCGUAAAGGGCGCGUAGGCGGCCUGCUAAGUCGAACGUGAAAUCCCUGGGCUCAACCCAGGAACUGCGUCCGAUACUGGUUGGCUUGAAUCCGGGAGAGGGAUGUGGAAUUCCAGGUGUAGCGGUGAAAUGCGUAGAUAUCUGGAGGAACACCGGUGGCGAAGGCGACAUCCUGGACCGGCAUUGACGCUGAGGCGCGAAAGCCAGGGGAGCAAACGGGAUUAGAUACCCCGGUAGUCCUGGCCCUAAACGAUGAAUGCUUGGUGUGGUGGGUAUCGAUCCCUACCGUGCCGAAGCUAACGCAUUAAGCA
rnacentral:rRNA from 1 species